rnacentral:SRP_RNA from 1 species
GGCCGGAUCCCAGACAACGGAUAAUCUGUGAACCCCGCCAGGUCCGGAAGGAAGCAACGGUAACAGGGAUUCCGGGUGUCUGGUGUAUCCGGCUUUU